rnacentral:rRNA from 1 species
AGAACGAACGCUGGCGGCAUGCCUAACACAUGCAAGUCGAACGAGACCUUCGGGUCUAGUGGCGCACGGGUGCGUAACGCGUGGGAAUCUGCCCUUGGGUUCGGAAUAACAGUUGGAAACGACUGCUAAUACCGGAUGAUGACGUAAGUCCAAAGAUUUAUCGCCCAGGGAUGAGCCCGCGUAGGAUUAGCUAGUUGGUGAGGUAAAGGCUCACCAAGGCGACGAUCCUUAGCUGGUCUGAGAGGAUGAUCAGCCACACUGGGACUGAGACACGGCCCAGACUCCUACGGGAGGCAGCAGUGGGGAAUAUUGGACAAUGGGCGAAAGCCUGAUCCAGCAAUGCCGCGUGCAGGAAGAAGGCCUUCGGUUGUAAACUGCUUUGUACGGAACGAACGUCCUUUCUAAUAAAGAGGACUAAUGACGGUACCGUAAGAAUAAGCAACCGGCUAACUACGUGCCAGCAGCCGC